rnacentral:rRNA from 1 species
UACGUAGGGUGCGAGCGUUGUCCGGAAUUAUUGGGCGUAAAGAGCUUGUAGGUGGCUCGUUGCGUCGGGAGUGAAAAACCUGAGGCUCAACCUCAGGCCUGCAGUCGAUACGGGCGGACUUGAGUACUGCAGGGGAGACUGGAAUUCCUGGUGUAGCGGUGAAAUGCGCAGAUAUCAGGAGGAACACCGGUGGCGAAGGCGGGUCUCUGGGCAGUAACUGACGCUGGAGGAGCGAAAGCGUGGGGAGCGAACAGG